CGAACGCUGGCGGCGUGCCUAAUACAUGCAAGUCGAACGCACUCUCGUUUAGAUUGAAGGAGUUUGCUCCUGAUUGAUAAACAUUUGAGUGAGUGGCGGACGGGUGAGUAACACGUGGGUAACCUGCCCUAAAGUGGGGGAUAACAUUUGGAAACAGAUGCUAAUACCGCAUAAAACCUAACACCGCAUGGUGUAGGGUUGAAAGAUGGUUUCGGCUAUCACUUUAGGAUGGACCCGCGGUGCAUUAGUUAGUUGGUGAGGUAAAGGCUCACCAAGACCGUGAUGCAUAGCCGACCUGAGAGGGUAAUCGGCCACACUGGGACUGAGACACGGCCCAGACUCCUACGGGAGGCAGCAGUAGGGAAUCUUCCACAAUGGACGAAAGUCUGAUGGAGCAACGCCGCGUGAGUGAAGAAGGUUUUCGGAUCGUAAAACUCUGUUGUUGGAGAAGAAUGUAUCUGAUAGUAACUGAUCAGGUAGUGACGGUAUCCAACCAGAAAGCCACGGCUAACUACGUG
rnacentral:rRNA from 1 species